GAUAGUGUUUUUUUUUUUUUGUAAUUACAGUAGAACCUCAGAGUUACAAACACCAGAGUUAUGAACUGACCAGUCAAUCACGCCCCUCAUUUGUAACUAGAAGUACCAAUCAGGCAUCAGCAGAGACAAAACAGCAAGCAGAUACAGUGCAGUACUGUGUUAAACAUAAACAACUAAAAA